UCUCUGGUAGUAUAUCGGUUAGUACACGCGCCUGUCAUAAUCUGGAUACAGAAGGGUUGCGCGCGAAAGCUGGGUUCGACUCCCAGCCAGAGAG